rnacentral:tRNA from 2 species
GCCACGGUGAUGAAAUUGGCAAACAUAGCGGACUCAAAAUCCGCCGCCCUUAAAAGCUUGUGGGUUCAAGUCCCACCCGUGGCA